CCACCACGUACAGGUAUGAGUCAUAUACCACUGAGAGACUACUAAUGAAUAGUCUUCCUACCGCCACAUACAUGUAAGAGUCAUAUGCCUCCCAUCCGCAUAGGGUCCAUUAGAUCAUUAGUCUUCCUACCAAAGACUGUACUUUUGUUGAAGAUGAGGACCCCAUGUAAUCUCUUUGAUCAAUAGUCUUCAAUUGAUAUCUUGACAUGCCUCUUGCCAUUUGAUAUCAUGAAUAUCAUUUGGAGUCAAUGAGUUUUGGGUUAGAAGGUAAUCUACUUGAUCCUCUAGUUUGAAAUUUUUUGCCAUGUGGUCUACAUGUGGUGUAAAACCAGCUUUCAACUUAUAAUUUUGGGUUUUAGUUUUUCUUUCCUUUAACUUUACAUGAGUCGGCAAAAAGGUUUAUAACUAGUAUAUGCUUGAUGUGAAGGGACAUUCAGAAUUCUAUUUAAUGUAGGUCUUCCCACAAAUGGAAGUCUAUUACUCUUUGUUAUUUUGUUUGCUGCAACCAUUUCUUUGAGUCCCCAUUAUUUUUUACUGAUCAUCAGAGACCAUUGUUGUUCUUUCUUAUGAAGUGUUGUAUUCUCUUUGUUCUUAAGUUAGUUCCCUUUUAUUUCAUGUCUAUCUUUUUUCAUCUUGGCUAUAAAGAAUUAGCAGCUCACUUGUUUUUGGUGCAUGUGUAACCCAUGGUUGAGACCAUCAUGUCAAUGGUUUGGAUUGCUGAACCAUCAGUCUCACUUGUAUUGAUAGGGGUAAGAUCACUUCAUAGAAAUGCUCCAUGCGGGAUCUUAAUACAAAACAUUCACAUUACAACUAUAGACAACACUAAACCAUCUAUGUAGUUGCAUCUUUAAUAUCAAUCACCAUGGGACACCAUAUAUUGAUUUUUCUGUAUUGCUUGUCAAAACCAGUUUUGAAACAAUCAUUGUAAUUCUUAGGUGGGCUACUUCUUCUUCUACCCAAAAACUCUAGAACAAGUAUGCAAAAUUCCCUCCAGAAAAUAUUAAUUGGUUGGAAACAUGUAUUGGAAUUGAAAUCAAACUUGAAAUCCUUAAGGUCUGUUUGGAUAGGGUGAAUCCAAAAGGUGGAAAUGGAAAAGAAAAGUGGAAUCUGAAAGCAUGUGUUCCCUAGGUAAAACCACUGAAUUUUCAUUUCCUUCCCACCUGUUUGUAAUGCUGCAAGAGUUGCUGUGGAAAAUAUGUAAUUCCAUUCCCUUUCAUCUGAUUGGAUUGGCAUGCAAAAGUGAGGAAUUCUAGCUGAAAUUUAUAUGGUGCUCCUUUACAAUUGUGACAAUAACAUACACCUAUGCUACAAGUAACAAUCCUACGGCCACAUAUUCAUGCUAGAAGAAAAUUCUACAGCCACAUGGACAUAACUAGACUCCAAUGUACAAGUUGGGUGUUGUCAGCCAUCUGUCAAUAUAAGUGGGCUGCACUUAUCUACUUGCUGUACCUCCAAAGUUCUGUACACUAUUCCUACUGCAAUAUAUGAUGGCCCACCAAAUGAAAUUGCUGAACAUAUAUCUUGCUGUCCACCUCAACAUCAUACGACAAGUGGGAUACUUCAUAGAAGAGAAGUGGCGACCACCCAAACCAGAUUAGAUCAUUCAUCUGGUGGACUAAUAACGGAUGUGCUAUGGACUGUGGCCCUUGAGUUUAUGCAUACUGGAUGAUCAUAGCCAUCUGAUUAACAACCUGAUAGCAGAUCAAAAGAAUAUUUCAAAUGGUUCUCAUUCAUAGGUAGAAGCUGUGCAUUAAUUUUGGUUGAAGAAGGAUCUAAAAUGGGAAGCAAUGAUGGUGCUGUCCAGUGUAUCUAAACAUGACAGCAGGAGAUUGAGCGCAGAGAGGUCACUUGAUGCAGCAACAGGGUACCCAUGGCGCAGAGGCGUUUGAGAGCUUGGGCGACCUUGAGAGAGUACAAAUAGAAAAUGGAUUUGGUAGUAGCUGAGGGUUUCAUGGGGUGAUAAACCUGGAGGAAUGAAUCAUCACCUACCAACUCUAUCCCCUAAUGUACAAGUCAAGAGGUGAAAAGAUGUGACACUUUUUGUUUUUCCAUCUGGGUAGAUUAUGUUUUUACGUGUGGUGUCAUGUUUUGUACAGGUUGGUUUGAAAGGAGAAGCCAUGAAUCUUGACUCUCCGAAUGGCAUUGCGUCUGUGGAAUGGAUGUAAGCAUCAUUAGCCGUUCAAAAACAACAGCCCUUAACAUGGUAUUAGGCUUAUUUUGAUGCACCUGGGGGAGAUGAGCCGUUGGCUUGGACAUGGGGGGUAUGGGGAAAGGGUCAAGUGUGGAUUAAUGGGCAGAGCAUUGGAAGAUAUUGGAGUGCUGUUGCGAAUGGCAUGUGCAACGAGUGCAGUUAUGCUGGGACAUAUCGAGCGCCAAAAUAUCAAACUGGUUGUGGCCAGCCAACACAAUGCUGGAGAAAGGCACUGAUGGCUUUGAAGAGGAUGAUGAUGACUUACAUGAUGAUGAAGGUGAAGAUGAUAAGGAGGACAACUAAGUCACUUUGGCGGAUCUCUGUUUUUGGAUUUGACUGUUACGGGAUCAUGUGAAACAAGUCCCAUGGUUGUAGAAGGGCUAAGGUAACAAAGUUUCCUCCAUUUCUAGGCUUUUCUUCUCUUAUGUUCGGCAGUCCUUGUUGUUUUCUUUUUCUUUUCUUCUCUUCUUCCGCCUACCUCUCUCCAGGGGUUUUUACUCUCUGUAGCACAGUUGCACGGCAGUCAUUGCAACUGAGGCAAAUCCCAGCUUGCUCGAGAAGUGUUGGGUCUUAUUUGUUGGGAACUUUGGUGGGGCAGAGUAAGGUUUUUCUCUUCUUCUUCUUCUUCUUCCUUCUUUUGGGCUCUAUAGUUGUAUUUACAAUUUAUAAUAUUCUCUCUCAAAUAUAUGUUUUGUUAUUAUAUGUAUCCAUUGAUGCAGUCAGUCCUAAAGAUGGCCAUUGUCCAGCUAGGGAAGAAAAUCAUCUGGGUAUCA